rnacentral:rRNA from 1 species
UACGUAGGGUGCAAGCGUUGUCCGGAAUUAUUGGGCGUAAAGAGCUCGUAGGCGGUCUGUUGCGUCGGCUGUGAAAACCCGGGGCUCAACCCCGGGCCUGCAGCCGAUACGGGCAGACUAGAGUUCGGCAGGGGAGACUGGAAUUCCUGGUGUAGCGGUGAAAAUGCGCAGAUAUCAGGAGGAACACCGGUGGCGAAGGCGGGUCUCUGGGCCGAUACUGACGCUGAGGAGCGAAAGCGUGGGGAGCGAACAGG